GCUCAAAUUUGAAAUCUAGCACUUUCAGUGUUCGAGUUGUAAUUUGAAGAAGGUAACUUUGGAAUUGGCUCUUGUCUAUGUUCCUUGGAACAGGACGUCACAGAGGGUGAGAAUCCCGUGCGAUGAGAUGUCCAAUUCUAUGUAAAGUGCUUUCGAAGAGUCGAGUUGUUUGGGAAUGCAGCUCUAAGUGGGUGGUAAAUUCCAUCUAAAGCUAAAUAUUGGCGAGAGACCGAUAGCGAACAAGUACAGUGAUGGAAAGAUGAAAAGAACUUUGAAAAGAGAGUGAAAAAGUACGUGAAAUUGUUGAAAGGGAAGGGCUUGAGAUCAGACUUGGUAUUUUGUGUUCCUUAUUCUUUUUGGAUUUGGUUCCUCACAGCUUACCGGGCCAGCAUCGGUUUGGAUGGUAGGAUAAUGACAUUGGAAUGUAGCUUUGCUUCGGUGAAGUGUUAUAGACUUUGUUGAUACUGCCUAUCUAGACCGAGGACUGCGUCUUUGACUAGGAUGCUGGCGUAAUGAUCUUAAGCCGCCCGUCUUG
rnacentral:rRNA from 1 species